UUCACUGUGGAAGCUGUGGUCAUUGUGGAAGCUGUGGUUGUUGCAGAAGCUGUGGUUGUUGCAGAAGCUGUGGUCGUUGAGGUCGCUGUGGGUGUUGAGGUCGCUGUGGGUGUUGAGGUCGCUGUGGGUGUUGAGGUCGCUGUGGGUGUUGAGGUCGCUGUGGGUGUUGAGGUCGCUGUGGGUGUUGAGGUCGCUGUGGGUGUUGAGGUCGCUGUGGGUGUUGAGGUCGCUGUGGGUGUUGAGGUCGCUGUGGGUGUUGAGGUCGCUGUGGGUGUUGAGGUCGCUGUGG